GGACGUCAAGAACUUGGCUACUUUUGUAGUCAUACGAACUUUCAAGCUGUUCCCCUAAACUUAGCCAUCAACAUCAAGGCUUUGGCACAAUCUGUCUGUAUACAGUAUAUGUUCUCUGUACGUCCUAAACUUAAACUGCGGGUUCAUCUCCAGCACAAACUACAUUUGCACACUAAUUUUAAUUAAUUAAUAACCUUGUAUUUUCAGCUUCUACAUUGCUUACAUCGCC
rnacentral:lncRNA from 1 species